rnacentral:rRNA from 1 species
UACGUAGGGAGCAAGCGUUGUCCGGAAUCAUUGGGCGUAAAGCGCGCGUAGGUGGCCUCAUAAGUCCGCUGUGAAAGUCAAAGGCUCAACCUUCGAAAGCCGGUGGAUACCGUGAGGCUAGAGUACGGAAGAGGCGAGUGGAAUUCCUGGUGUAGCGGUGGAAUGCGCAGAUAUCAGGAGGAACACCAAUAGCGAAGGCAGCUCGCUGGGACGUUACUGACACUGAGGCGCGAAAGCGUGGGGAGCGAACAGG